AUUGAACGCUGGCGGCAGGCCUAACACAUGCAAGUCGAGCGAGAUGCGGACGGGUGAGUAAUGUCUGGGAAACUGCCUGAUGGAGGGGGAUAACGACUGGAAAAGGUAGCUAAUCACGCAGACCAUCAGAUGUGCCCAGAUGGGAUGAGCGAGUAGGUGGGGUAACGGCGCACCUAGGCGACGAUCCCUAGCUGGUCUGAGAGGAUGACCAGCCACACGGGAACUGAGACACGGUCCAGACUCCUGCGGGAGGCAGCAGUGGGGAAUAUUGCACAAUGGGCGCAAGCCUGAUGCAGCCAUGCCGCGUGUAUGAAGAAGGCCUUCGGGUUUUAAAGUACUUUCAGCGGGGAGGCGUUACCCGCAGAAGAAGCACCGGCUAACUCCGUGCCAGCAGCCGCGGUAAUUC
rnacentral:rRNA from 1 species